GAUGAGCGCUGGCGGCGUGCCUAAUACAUGCAAGUCGAGCGAACGGACGAGAAGCUUGCUUCUCUGAUGUUAGCGGCGGACGGGUGAGUAACACGUGGAUAACCUACCUAUAAGACUGGGAUAACUUCGGGAAACCGGAGCUAAUACCGGAUAAUAUUUUGAACCGCAUGGUUCAAAAGUGAAAGACGGUCUUGCUGUCACUUAUAGAUGGAUCCGCGCUGCAUUAGCUAGUUGGUAAGGUAACGGCUUACCAAGGCAACGAUGCAUAGCCGACCUGAGAGGGUGAUCGGCCACACUGGAACUGAGACACGGUCCAGACUCCUACGGGAGGCAGCAGUAGGGAAUCUUCCGCAAUGGGCGAAAGCCUGACGGAGCAACGCCGCGUGAGUGAUGAAGGUCUUCGGAUCGUAAAACUCUGUUAUUAGGGAAGAACAUAUGUGUAAGUAACUGUGCACAUCUUGACGGUACCUAAUCAGAAAGCCACGGCUAACUACGU
rnacentral:rRNA from 1 species